GUUGGGGUUGGUGCAGUUGAUGAGUCCUAAUCCCACUGUGAAAAAAAGGUUCUCAUCAAUCUGAGUGGGCACUUUCACCUGGGAAGGACUCCUUAGUUGAGCAGUGAAAGCAGUUGCAGUGUUUGUGUCGUUGUAUGCUGGUAGUUGGGGGAGGAUCGGUGGUGGUGAGGACUUCCCUUUCUUGGCAUUACAAGGAGCAUAUUUGUAUUCCAAGAUAGCUGUUGUGGUGGUAUUAUCAAAUGCUGCAUUCUGGGCUGUGUUAUAGGCAUGCGCAGCCAUGUAGUAACGACCUGGGGUUUGAUCAGCUGUGAUGAGGACAUUAGUUGUCUGACCUGGAGCUAUCAUGAUCACUGAGGUUGUAAAAGGCUUGGUGUAGGCAGCAUCAACAGAAACCACUGUUAAUCUGUGAUCAGCCACCGCAAAGAAGAGUUCUUGGUUCAAAGCAGAGUUGAUGAUUCUCAGGAGAAUCGUCUCACCGGAAUCCACGGGGAAUCUCACAGUUUCUGCAUUGCCAAAGCCAUAGUAAAAGAGAUUAUGCUUCUAUCAUUCGCAUGGCCACAUACAGAUAGUGAAAUCUGAAUUACAGCAAGCAGAUCUGGAAAACCUUUGCUGGAGCAUCUGUAGAGAUCUCCAGGUUGACCGUUGAUGGUAUAAGCAUCAGAAACAUUUGGUGCUGCUCCUGUGAAGGUUGCCUGCUUCAGGACAUCCAUAGGAUUCCUGUCCCACCACUCCCCUGUCAAUCAUCAUCAUAAUCAGUGUUUUCCCUUUGUCACUUGAUAAUCUUAUUAGUUUAGAUGGAAAUGAAAAAUGC
rnacentral:misc_RNA from 1 species